GACGAACGCUGGCGGCGUGCUUAACACAUGCAAGUCGAACGGAAAGGCCCUGCUUUUGUGGGGUGCUCGAGUGGCGAACGGGUGAGUAACACGUGAGUAACCUGCCCUUGACUUUGGGAUAACUUCAGGAAACUGGGUCUAAUACCGGAUAGGAGCUCCUGCUGCAUGGUGGGGGUUGGAAAGUUUCGGCGGUUGGGGAUGGACUCGCGGCUUAUCAGCUUGUUGGUGGGGUAGUGGCUUACCAAGGCUUUGACGGGUAGCCGGCCUGAGAGGGUGACCGGCCACAAUGGGAAUGACACACGGCCCAAACUACUACGGGCGGCAGCAGUGGGGAAUCUUGAACGAUGGGCGGCAGCCUGAUGCAGCAACGCCGCGUGCGGGAUGACGGCCUUCGGGUUGUAAACCGCUUUCGCCUGUGACGAAGCGUGAGUGACGGUAAUGGGUACAGAAGCACCGGCUAACUACGUG
rnacentral:rRNA from 1 species